GCCUCAUUGGCUCAGGGGCAGAGCGUCUGUCUAGUAAACAGAAGGUCGCUGGUUCGAUUCCAGCAUGAGGCA
rfam:Strongyloides papillosus strain LIN genome assembly, scaffold: SPAL_contig0001695